rnacentral:rRNA from 1 species
UACGGGGGGGGGCUAGCGUUGUUCGGAAUUACUGGGCGUAAAGGGCGCGUAGGCGGUCUGCUAAGUUGGAUGUGAAAACUCUGGGCUUACCCAGAGCCUGCAUUCAAUACUGACAGGCUAGAGUUCUGGAGGGGAUAGCGGAAUUCCUGGUGUAGCGGUGAAAUGCGUAGAUAUCAGGAGGAACACCGGUGGCGAAGGCGGCUAUCUGGACAGAGUCUGACGCUGAGGCGCGAAAGCUAGGGGAGCAAACAGG